UACCGCACCCAAUUUAAAAUAAACAAUAACUCUGCAUAACAUACAUAACAUAACAAAAUAAACUAUUUUGCCUUUUAAUUAGAUAUUUGAUGGCAUAGUCAGUUUAUUUAUGGCCUGUGUGUGCCAUAGAAAUAUGAUUACAUCGCUACACAGGUGUCUGCACAUUGUAAACUGUAAUUCUAUUUUUUCCUGUCUGUAUACUAAUUGUGUAAAUAUGAAUACACAUCUAGUUCAUAAAUAAUAAUACCAGCUUUGUUCGCACCUGAGAUGUUCAUGAAUUAAAGCAGGUAAAUAACUAAAACAUUUCAGUGUUAACUGUGGAGGCUUUGCCUUUUGCUUUUGCACAAUAUAACGCAGUAACCACGAUAAUGAAAAUCAACCAUCCACAAGAGAAAUGACCUUGAGCAAAGAGCGGGAUGCGGCACGGGUGGCAUUUGAUGAGGCUCUUCGAGAAAGCUAUCGCACAGCAUUACAAUAUGUAACUGAUCAGAAGGAGCGAGCUGCAAUGCGAUGGUCACCUGCUCCUGCCACUAGCCUUGCCCCUGUCCAAUGGAUAGAGAGGGACAGCAGAGGCAACAUAAUUCACAAAAGACCUGGACAAAAAAGGUCUAAGAAGACCUCAACACAUGUCACAGCGGAGGACAUGGACCUUACCGGAACAGGUGACCAUAUUGCAGCUAAUGGCGGGGUUUCCAAUACCAGGACCCAUCCUCCUGCAGUACCCAUGCUCCUGCACCUAUCCCCACAAGAUACAGACUCCCUGAUGCAGGACCUACAGGAGCUGAUGGGGAGUUUCAUGGGGCCAGAUUGUCAUGUAACCCCAAAGGUGACUUGGGCAGAGAGGCAGGCCUUGUGUGCACAAAAGUGGUGGGAAAAGAGAGAGGCAAUGGUGGACAGCAUGCUCUCUGCUGAAGGUACUGUGUUGGGCCAGUGUCAGUAUUGCGACAGUGAGGAUGCUGUUGUGCGGUGCAGAGAUUGCCUGCCCAGGCAUCUUCUCUGUGCCGCAUGUGACAUAGCCACCCAUAGCACCAAGGUUUGCACAACAGGGAGUCUCUGUUUUAAGGGCUUUAUCGCCCCUUGUCCCCAACCACCGUAAUUCAUCAAGAUGAUGAGGGGUCCCUUACCUUCCAGGAGCAAGGUGUGUGUUUAUUGUUUUGGUGUUUCAAAUUAAAUCUGAUAGCACCUCCUGCAAUACCAACUUUUUAGUCAUGCUGCACAAUUUUCAAUGCAUCAGUAUUUACAGUCCAAAUAUAUUCAACAAUUUAUUUGUGAUUCUUUGGUGUCACAUUUUGGUUUCUAGUUUGUCUUUUGCCCAUGGCUGUGCCACAGCUGUGUGGUUGCGCCCACAGUGCCCUGACAGUGACUAGUGGCAAGCAAGUCAUCCUGAUUGGAAUAAAUGAUAAGUGUGGUUUUUAAGGACUGCUAUUCACAUGUUUUUAAAGAAUGUAAUUAAUUACUUCCUAAUAAUUACUCCUGACUCAGGGCGCUACAACCUGUCCCUUCCUGCUCUGAACUGCUCCGGGUGUCUGAGACAUUGGACAGUGGGGCUGGAUGAACUUAUAAAGAGUGGCUACUGGCCAUCCACCGUGACUCACCAGACCAUCUUCACAGUGGACCUCUUCAAGUCCGUUGAAGACAUGAAGGUGUUGGCCCCAGGAUGCUCCCGUCAAGCCUUUGUGGGAAUGCUUGACGGAAGAACAAAGCACUUUGGCAGGUGGAAAGAUAUGUGGCGACACAUUCCAGAAGGCAUUCCUCAAGUGGAUGUAUGGGCGGUUUGAAAUAGACAAGCUUUGUGGAAGCGAUCUGCUCCAUUGUCCUGCCUGCUCACAGGAGAUGCAUGCUAUAUCAGUGGAUGGGAAUCACAAGCAAUACCGCUCCGGAAAGCCUCAGGGUUUGUACUUUUUUCUUUUUUCUUUUUCUUUUCUUUGGGGGUAGAUCAGCUUAAUAUUGCAGAUAGAUUGUAACUUCCA